rnacentral:rRNA from 1 species
CGGAGGAAGGUGGGGAUGACGUCAAAUCAUCAUGCCCCUUAUGUCUUGGGCUUCACGCAUGCUACAAUGGCCGGUACAAAGGGCUGCGAAACCGCGAGGUGGAGCGAAUCCCAAAAAACCGGUCUCAGUUCGGAUUGGGGUCUGCAACUCGACCCCAUGAAGUCGGA